rnacentral:other from 2 species
AUUUAAAUACAUCUCAUGUUGAGGUUCAAC